rnacentral:rRNA from 1 species
AACGCUAGCUACAGGCUUAACACAUGCAAGUCGAGGGGCAGCAUGAUUUGUAGCAAUACAGAUUGAUGGCGACCGGCGCACGGGUGAGUAACGCGUAUGCAACUUACCUAUCAGAGGGGGAUAGCCCGGCGAAAGUCGGAUUAAUACCCCAUAAAACAGGGGUCCCGCAUGGGAAUAUUUGUUAAAGAUUCAUCGCUGAUAGAUAGGCAUGCGUUCCAUUAGGCAGUUGGCGGGGUAACGGCCCACCAAACCGACGAUGGAUAGGGGUUCUGAGAGGAAGGUCCCCCACAUUGGUACUGAGACACGGACCAAACUCCUACGGGAGGCAGCAGUGAGGAAUAUUGGUCAAUGGCCGAGAGGCUGAACCAGCCAAGUCGCGUGAAGGAAGAAGGAUCUAUGGUUUGUAAAUUUCUUUUAUAGGGGAAUAAAGUGGAGGACGUGUCCUUUUUUGUAUGUACCCUAUGAAUAAGCAUCGGCUAACUCCGUGCCAGCAGCCGCGGUAAUACGGAGGAUGCGAGCGUUAUCCGGAUUUAUUGGGUUUAAAGGGUGCGUAGGUGGUGAUUUAAGUCAGCGGUGAAAGUUUGUGGCUCAACCAUAAAAUUGCCGUUGAAACUGGGUUACUUGAGUGUGUUUGAGGUAGGCGGAAUGCGUGGUGUAGCGGUGAAAUGCAUAGAUAUCACGAAGAACUCCGAUUG